AGAAUGCAAAGAAAUGGAUCAUCUAGCCGAGGGCUGGAGAAGACCAGGCUGAGGCUGUGUCGGGAAGCCAGGAUUCCAGAAUCAGCAUUCCUCACUGGCCUCACAAGGGAAAGCUGGGAAGCCCGGUGCUGGUGUGCAGUAGAAGGACACUCGUGAGGUGGUAGCCAUAAAGUGUGUAGCCAAGAAAAGUCUGAACAAGGCAUCGGUGGAGAACCUCCUCACGGAGAUUGAGAUCCUCAAGGGCAUUCGACAUCCCCACAUUGUGCAGCUGAAAGACUUUCAGUGGGACAGUGACAAUAUCUACCUCAUCAUGGAGUUUUGCGCAGGGGGCGACCUGUCUCGCUUCAUCCAUACCCGCAGGAUUCUGCCUGAGAAGGUGGCGCGUGUCUUCAUGCAGCAGUUAGCUAGCGCCCUGCAAUUCCUGCAUGAACGGAGUAUCUCUCACCUGGAUCUGAAGCCACAGAACAUUCUACUGAGCUCCUUGGAGAAGCCCCACCUAAAACUGGCAGACUUUGGUUUCGCACAACACAUGUCCCCGUGGGAUGAGAAGCACGUGCUCCGUGGCUCCCCCCUCUACAUGGCCCCCGAGAUGGUGUGCCAGCGGCAGUAUGACGCCCGCGUGGACCUCUGGUCCGUGGGGGUCAUCCUGUAUGGUGAGACCUCUUUUCCCUGCUUCUCACCCUGAGGCCUACACUGUUUCCUCAGGCAAGGCCUCUCUAGGCCACUUCUGAAGGGUUCUGAUGAAAACUGACUGCUGGCCCAGGGCCCCUGCUGAGGGGCGUCAGGCCAGGCUUGACCCAUUCCAUCCCAGCCUUCGCUCUGCCUCCCUUCCACAGAAGCCCUCUUCGGGCAGCCCCCCUUUGCCUCCAGGUCGUUCUCAGAGCUGGA
rnacentral:sRNA from 1 species